UACGUAGGGGGCGAGCGUUGUCCGGAUUUAUUGGGCGUAAAGAGCUCGUAGGCGGUUUGGUAAGUCGGGUGUGAAAUCUCCACGCUCAACGUGGAGGGGCCACCCGAAACUGCCAUGGCUUGAGUCCGGUAGGGGAGUGUGGAAUUCCCGGUGUAGCGGUGAAAUGCGCAGAUAUCGGGAGGAACACCCGUAGCGAAGGCGGCACUCUGGGCCGGUACUGACGCUGAGGAGCGAAAGCGUGGGGAGCGAACAGG
rnacentral:rRNA from 1 species